CAGCAGCCACGGGAAUACGAAGGGGGCUAGCGUUGUUCGGAUUUACUGGGCGUAAAGCGUGCGCAGGCGGUUCGUUAAGACAGAUGUGAAAUCCCCGGGCUUAACCUGGGAACUGCAUUUGUGACUGGCGAGCUAGAGUAUGGCAGAGGGGGGUAGAAUUCCACGUGUAGCAGUGAAAUGCGUAGAGAUGUGGAGGAAUACCGAUGGCGAAGGCAGCCCCCUGGGCCAAUACUGACGCUCAUGCACGAAAGCGUGGGGAGCAAACAGGAUUAGAUACCCGCGUAGUCCCUGUCUCUUAUAC
rnacentral:rRNA from 1 species